AAGAUUUCCGCUGCUUCGAGUUGUUCUGCUGCUCGCAUAGAGCAAGUGUAGUAUCGCAGGCGUAGUGUCGUCGUGCUGAUGUGAACCUUUGUAACAUCAGACCUUUGUAUUUACUCUUGUAAUAAGAGAUGAUUUGUUCUAUGUCAAGCAAUGUCGUAUUCCAGAGACUUCUCCUCGAUCUCUUGGCUGGAAUACGGGGCGUUCCGGUUUCUCUGAGCCGGGGUGCCACAUCGGGAUAGUGCGGUUCUUCUCCGAGUUGUACAUGUCGGAUCCAAGCUUUUGCAAGCUUGAGAUGCGUUCCAAACAACGGUGCCCGGGCCACGGGCUCAUUCCCACUCGUUGUGUGGCCUGGGGAGGAGCCAGCACGGGGAGAUGUUUCCUUGGUUGCCCACAUGAUCUUCCUGAUGAAUGUGAAUUGGUUGUUUGGGUUGACCCUCCUCCUCCAGAUCGUGUUGGACGUGCUAUCGAGGAACUACAUGGUGGGCUAGAGCGAAGUUGGCUCAAAGCUCAUCGUUUAGGGAGGAGGGUGGCACAUCUAACCAAGCUGAUGGAAACAUGCGCAUUUUUAUGAUUGUUGGCAUAUGCAUUGUGGCGUAUUUAUUUCCUUCGAAGAAUGCAUAUUAGGUGAUGCUGUAGGCAGUGAGAUUUUAAUGUGUUUGGUUGCUGAAGUUGAGUAGAAUUUGCUGUGAGUGGUUCUUGGUGGUGAACCUUUGAUGUUGUGCACAUUUUGCAAAGGAAAUGAGAAGCAUCAGCUUGGUCUUGUGAUUUUUUUUA